ACGGGUGCGUAACGCGUAUGCAACCUACCUUCAUCAGGGGGAUAGCCCGGAGAAAUCCGGAUUAAUACCGCAUAAAAUCACAGCACUGCAUAGUGCAAUGAUCAAACAUUUAUGGGAUGGAGAUGGGCAUGCGUGUCAUUAGCUAGUUGGCGGGGUAACGGCCCACCAAGGCGACGAUGACUAGGGGAUCUGAGAGGAUGGCCCCCCACACUGGUACUGAGACACGGACCAGACUCCUACGGGAGGCAGCAGUAAGGAAUAUUGGUCAAUGGAGGCAACUCUGAACCAGCCAUGCCGCGUGCAGGAAGACUGCCCUAUGGGUUGUAAACUGCUUUUAUCCGGGAAUAAACCACAUUACGUGUAAUGUGCUGAAUGUACCGGAAGAAUAAGGAUCGGCUAACUCCGUGCCAGCAGCCGCGGUAAUACGGAGGAUCCAAGCGUUAUCCGGAUUUAUUGGGUUUAAAGGGUGCGUAGGCGGCCUGUUAAGUCAGGGGUGAAAGACGGUAGCUCAACUAUCGCAGUGCCCUUGAUACUGAUGGGCUUGAAUGGACUACAGGUAGGCGGAAUGAGACAAGUAGCGGUGAAAUGCA
rnacentral:rRNA from 1 species